rnacentral:rRNA from 1 species
GUGUCAGCAGCCGCGGUAACACGGGGGGAGCAAGCGUUGUUCGGAAUCACUGGGCGUAAAGGGCGUGUAGGCGGUUCAGUAAGUGGAAUGUGAAAGCCCCCGGCUUACCCGGGGAUCUGCAUUCCAAACUACUGGGCUUGAGUACGGGAGAGGAUGAGGGAAUUCCUGGUGUAGCGGUGAAAUGCGUAGAUAUCAGGAGGAACACCGGUGGCGAAGGCGCUCAUCUGGCCCGAUACUGACGCUGAGGCGCGAAAGCUAGGGGAGCAAACGGGAUUAGAUACCCCGGUAGUCC